rnacentral:rRNA from 1 species
GUUUGAUCCUGGCUCAGGACGAACGCUGGCGGCGUGCUUAACACAUGCAAGUCGAACGGAAAGGCCCUUCGGGGUGCUCGAGUGGCGAACGGGUGAGUAACACGUGGGUGAUCUGCCCUGCACUUUGGGAUAAGCCUGGGAAACUGGGUCUAAUACCGAAUAGGACCACGCGCUUCAUGGUGUGUGGUGGAAAGCUUUUGCGGUGUGGGAUGGGCCCGCGGCCUAUCAGCUUGUUGGUGGGGUAAUGGCCUACCAAGGCGACGACGGGUAGCCGGCCUGAGAGGGUGACCGGCCACACUGGGACUGAGAUACGGCCCAGACUCCUACGGGAGGCAGCAGUGGGGAAUAUUGCACAAUGGGCGCAAGCCUGAUGCAGCGACGCCGCGUGAGGGAUGACGGCCUUCGGGUUGUAAACCUCUUUCAAUAGGGACGAAGCGCAAGUGACGGUACCUAUAGAAGAAGCACCGGCCAACUACGUGCCAGCAGCCGCGGUAAUACGUAGGGUGCGAGCGUUGUCCGGAAUUACUGGGCGUAAAGAGCUCGUAGGUGGUUUGUCGCGUUGUUCGUGAAAACUCACAGCUUAACUGUGGGCGUGCGGGCGAUACGGGCAGACUAGAGUACUGCAGGGGAGACUGGAAUUCCUGGUGUAGCGGUGGAAUGCGCAGAUAUCAGGAGGAACACCGGUGGCGAAGGCGGGUCUCUGGGCAGUAACUGACGCUGAGGAGCGAAAGCGUGGGGAGCGAACAGGAUUAGAUACCCUGGUAGUCCACGCCGUAAACGGUGGGUACUAGGUGUGGGUUCCUUCCUUGGGAUCCGUGCCGUAGCUAACGCAUUAAGUACCCCGCCUGGGGAGUACGGCCGCAAGGCUAAAACUCAAAGGAAUUGACGGGGGCCCGCACAAGCGGCGGAGCAUGUGGAUUAAUUCGAUGCAACGCGAAGAACCUUACCUGGGUUUGACAUGCACAGGACGCCGGCAGAGAUGUCGGUUCCCUUGUGGCCUGUGUGCAGGUGGUGCAUGGCUGUCGUCAGCUCGUGUCGUGAGAUGUUGGGUUAAGUCCCGCAACGAGCGCAACCCUUGUCCUAUGUUGCCAGCGGGUUAUGCCGGGGACUCGUAGGAGACUGCCGGGGUCAACUCGGAGGAAGGUGGGGAUGACGUCAAGUCAUCAUGCCCCUUAUGUCCAGGGCUUCACACAUGCUACAAUGGCCGGUACAAAGGGCUGCGAUGCCGUGAGGUGGAGCGAAUCCUUUCAAAGCCGGUCUCAGUUCGGAUCGGGGUCUGCAACUCGACCCCGUGAAGUCGGAGUCGCUAGUAAUCGCAGAUCAGCAACGCUGCGGUGAAUACGUUCCCGGGCCUUGUACACACCGCCCGUCACGUCAUGAAAGUCGGUAACACCCGAAGCCGGUGGCCUAACCCUUGUGGAGGGAGCCGUCGAAGGUGGGAUCGGCGAUUGGGACGAAGUCGUAACAAGGUAGCCGUA